rnacentral:rRNA from 1 species
AUUGAACGCUGGCGGCAGGCCUAACACAUGCAAGUCGAGCGGCAGCGGGAAAGUAGCUUGCUACUUUUGCCGGCGAGCGGCGGACGGGUGAGUAAUGCCUGGGGAUCUGCCCAGUCGAGGGGGAUAACUACUGGAAACGGUAGCUAAUACCGCAUACGCCCUACGGGGGAAAGCAGGGGAACUUCGGGCCUUGCGCGAUUGGAUGAACCCAGGUGGGAUUAGCUAGUUGGUGAGGUAAUGGCUCACCAAGGCGACGAUCCCUAGCUGGUCUGGGGGGAUGAUCAGCCACGCUGGAACUGAGACACGGGCCAGACUCCUACGGGAGGCAGCAUUGGGGAAUAUUGCGCAAUGGGGGAAACCCUGAUGCAGCCAUGCCGCGUGUGGGAAGAAGGCCUUCGGGUUGUAAAGCACUUUCAGCGAGGAGGAAAGGUUGGUAGCUAAUAACUGCCAGCUGUGACGUUACUCGCUGAAGAAGCACCGGCUAACUCCGUGCCAGCCGCCGCCGUAA